rnacentral:rRNA from 2 species
AGGUUAAGUUAACAAGGGCGCAUGGUGAAUGCCUUGGCACUAGGAGCCGAUGAAGGACGGGACUAACACCGAUAUGCUUCGGGGAGCUGUACGUAAGCUAUGAUCCGGAGAUUUCCGAAUGGGGCAACCCAGCAGUUUUAAUCAACUGUUACCACUAGAUGAAUUCAUAGUCUAGUUGGAGGUAAACGCUGUGAACUGAAACAUCUCAUUAGCAGCAGGAAUAUAAAGAAAUUUCGAUUCCCUAAGUAGCGGCGAGCGAACGGGGAACAGCCCAAACCAAAGUGCUUGCACUUUGGGGUUGUAGGACUGAACAUUUGAGUUACCAAAGAACUUGAUAGUCGAAGGAUUUGGGAAAAUCCGCCAUAGAUGGUGAUAGCCCAGUAGAUUAAAUCAAAUUCUCUCAGUUCAGGAUCCUGAGUACGGCGGAACACGUGAAAUUCCGUCGGAAUCCGGGAGGACCAUCUCCCAAGGCUAAAUACUACCUAGUGACCGAUAGUGAACCAGUACCGUGAGGGAAAGGUGAAAAGCACCCCGGGAGGGGAGUGAAAUAGUUCCUGAAACCAUGUGCCUACAAUAAGUCAGAGCGCGUUAAUGCGUGAUGGCGUGCCUUUUGUAGAAUGAACCGGCGAGUUAUGAUCCCGUGCAAGGUUAAGACUAAAAAGUCGGAGCCGUAGCGAAAGCGAGUCUGAAAUGGGCGUUUUGAGUACGAGGUUAUAGACCCGAAACCAGGUGACCUAUCCAUGUCCAGGUUGAAGGUGCGGUAAAACGCACUGGAGGACCGAACCCGUGUAAGUUGAAAAUUGCUGGGAUGAGGUGUGGAUAGCGGUGAAAUUCCAAACGAACUUGGAGAUAGCUGGUUCUCUCCGAAAUAGCUUUAGGGCUAGCCUCGGAAUUAGGAUCAUGGAGGUAGAGCACUAUUUGGACUAGGGGCCCGUCUUGGGUUACUGAAUUCAGAUAAACUCCGAAUGCCAUUGAUUCAUAUCCGGGAGUCAGACGAUGAGUGAUAAGAUCCACCGUCGAAAGGGGAACAGCCCAGACCAUCAGUUAAGGUCCCUAAAUGUAUGCUAAGUGGAAAAGGAUGUGGAGUUGCAUAGACAACUAGGAUGUUGGCUCAGAAGCAGCCACCAUUUAAAGAGUGCGUAAUAGCUCACUAGUCGAGUGAUCCUGCGCCGAAAAUGUACCGGGGCUAAGCAUACUACCGAAACCAUGGAUGCGACCAUUAGGUCGCGUGAUAGGAGAGCGUUCUAAGGGCGGUGAAGCAAGAUCGUGAGGACUUGUGGAGCGCUUAGAAGUGAGAAUGCCGGUAUGAGUAGCGAAAGAUAGGUGAGAAUCCUAUCCACCGAAUGACUAAGGUUUCCUGGGGAAGGCUCGUCCUCCCAGGGUUAGUCGGGACCUAAGUCGAGGCCGAGAGGCGUAGACGAUGGAUAACAGGUUGAGAUUCCUGUACUAGUUAAGUGCGUUUGAGCAAUGGAGGGACGCAGGAGGCUAAGAUGUGCAUUCUGUUGGAUUAGAAUGUCCAAGCAGUAAGUCUUGUGAAGAGUCAAAUGCUUUUCACUUUAAGGACAAGCUGUGAUGGGGAGCGAAAUUUAGUAGCGAAGCGUCUGAUGUCACACUGCCGAGAAAAGCUUCUAGUGAGUACUUAACUACCCGUACCGCAAACCGACACAGGUAGUCGAGGAGAGAAUCCUAAGGUGAGCGAGUGAACUCUCGUUAAGGAACUCGGCAAAAUGACCCCGUAACUUCGGGAGAAGGGGUGCUGAUCGCAAGAUCAGCCGCAGUGAAUAGGCCCAGGCGACUGUUUAUCAAAAACACAGGUCUCUGCAAAAUCGUAAGAUGACGUAUAGGGGCUGACGCCUGCCCGGUGCUGGAAGGUUAAAAGGAUGGGUUAGCUUCGGCGAAGCUCAGAAUUGAAGCCCCAGUAAACGGCGGCCGUAACUAUAACGGUCCUAAGGUAGCGAAAUUCCUUGUCGGGUAAGUUCCGACCCGCACGAAAGGCGUAACGAUCUGGGCACUGUCUCAACGAGAGACUCGGUGAAAUUAUAUUGUCCGUGAAGAUGCGGACUACCCGCGACAGGACGGAAAGACCCCAUGGAGCUUUACUGUAGCUUGAUAUUGAGUGUUUGUACAGCUUGUACAGGAUAGGUAGGAGCCAUAGAAACCGGAACGCUAGUUUCGGUGGAGGCGUUGGUGGGAUACUACCCUCGCUGUAUGACCACUCUAACCCCCACCACUAAUCGUGGUGGGAGACAGUGUCAGGUGGGCAGUUUGACUGGGGCGGUCGCCUCCUAAAAAGUAACGGAGGCGCCCAAAGGUUCCCUCAGAAUGGUUGGAAAUCAUUCGCAGAGUGUAAAGGCACAAGGGAGCUUGACUGCGAGACAGACAGGUCGAGCAGGGACGAAAGUCGGGCUUAGUGAUCCGGUGGUACCGUAUGGAAGGGCCAUCGCUCAACGGAUAAAAGCUACCCUGGGGAUAACAGGCUUAUCUCCCCCAAGAGUCCACAUCGACGGGGAGGUUUGGCACCUCGAUGUCGGCUCAUCGCAUCCUGGGGCUGUAGUCGGUCCCAAGGGUUGGGCUGUUCGCCCAUUAAAGCGGUACGCGAGCUGGGUUCAGAACGUCGUGAGACAGUUCGGUCCCUAUCCGUCGCGGGCGUAGGAAAUUUGAGAGGACCUGUCCUUAGUACGAGAGGACCGGGAUGGACAUACCUCUGGUGUACCAGUUGUGCCGCCAGGCGCAUCGCUGGGUAGCUACGUAUGGAUGUGAUAAACGCUGAAAGCAUCUAAGUGUGAAACACACCUCGAGAUGAGAUUUCCCAUUCCUUUAUGGAAGUAAGACCCCUGAAAGAUGAUCAGGUAGAUAGGUUAGAAGUGGCAGUGCGGUGACGCAUGAAGCGGACUAAUACUAAUCGGUCGAGGACUUAACCAAG